AGGAUGAGUUAUUGCUGCCUGGCCUCAGCUGGACUUGGUCUCCCGGGAAUAUUCAGGAAUCCCGGAAAAAAGAGGAUACAGAGACCGGAGGUUAAUGGAAUCUGUUUGCAAGAAAGUAAGACCUUGCUGAGGCUGAAAUCUUCCAUCACCAAAAAAAAGGAGAUUAAAGGGACAAAAAUUAACCCCCCAAGAUUAUCAAAAGAACUGGAACAGUCUUCACCUGGCAAAAGGGAGACAAGAAAUGGGUGCAUCUGGAAACCGUCAAUAAAGCCCUUUGGAAAUGGCCCAGUGAGAGGGAUGCUGGACAACUGGGUGAGUGAAACUGUGGGGCUGCAGAGGGGAGAAUGAACCUCUGCUCAGAACCCAGGGAACUGGCAAA